UCACCACCAUGUUCCUCAAGUACAGCUGGUGGGUCACAGUCGUGCCUCUGCGCUGCCCUGCCAAGUAACACAGCUUGUCUCUUGAAAAACCUCAUGCAGGAAUACAGCUCUUUCAUGAACAGAAUCAUAGAAUGUUAUGGUUAGAAGGGACCUUAAAGAUCAUCUCAUCCCAACCCCCCGUAAUGGGCAGGGAUGCCUCUCACUAGGUCAGGCCUUAUACAACAUGGCCUGGAAACACUGCCAGGUUUGGGGUAUCCACAACAUCCCUGAGUAACUUGUUCCUGUAUCUCACCAUCUUCAUAGUAAAGAAUUUCUUCCUAAUACCUAACCUAAAAUUCCCCUAUUCCAGUUUGUACCCUUUACUGCCUGUCCCAUCACUACAGUUCUUGGUGAAAGGUCCCCCUUCAGCUUCCCUGUAGGCCCCCUUCAGAUACUGGAAGGUUGCUACAGAGUUUCCAGAUAGUCCUCUAUUCUCCAGGCUGAACAGCCCCAAAUUUCUCAGCCAGUCUUCAUAGGAAAGCCAUAUCUGGGCAAAGAAGAGCAGAAGGCCAACAGAAGAAGCCUGAGAGCCAAGGCAAGGACAGAAAAACUAAAUAUUUGCAGCAGGAGCAAACACCUGAGACACAGUCUCUCUUGCCAGUCCCAAGCAUAUGGAAAUCAUGAGUCAGCCCUAAGCCAUUGAAUUAUAAGUUUGGACAGAAGAAAGAAACUGCAGUAUUUUAAAAGACAAGCGGGAAAACAGCACCCCAGCUGCUGGAACAGGGGAAAUACUUCACAGACAGCAGUGAGCUGAUAAUUGCUGAUGUCAAACAAGCUUAUUAAAUGGGAAGAUUUCAUCCACUCACUCCACCCUCCCAGCAGCGGCACC